GACGAACGCUGGCGGCGUGCCUAACACAUGCAAGUCGAGCGGAGAUCAUAGCAAUGUGAUCUUAGCGGCGGACGGGUGAGUAACGCGUGGGCAACCUACCUCAAACUGGGGGAUAACACAGGGAAACUUGUGCUAAUACCGCAUAACAUCAUGAGAUGACAUCGUCUUAUGAUCAAAGGAGAAAUCCGGUGAGAGAUGGGCCCGCGUCCAAUUAGCUAGUUGGUGAGGUAACGGCCCACCAAGGCGACGAUUGGUAGCCGAACUGAGAGGUUGAUCGGCCACAUUGGGACUGAGACACGGCCCAGACUCCUACGGGAGGCAG
rnacentral:rRNA from 1 species